rnacentral:rRNA from 1 species
AUCGAACGCUGGCGGCAGGCCUAACACAUGCAAGUCGAGCGGACUGAGGUAGCUUGCUACCAAGGUUAGCGGCGGACGGGUGAGUAACGCGUAGGAAUCUACCUGGUAAUGGGGGAUAACGUUCCGAAAGGAACGCUAAUACCGCAUACGCCCUAAGGGGGAAAGUGGGGGAUCUUCGGACCUCACGUUAUCAGAUGAGCCUGCGUAGGAUUAGCUAGUUGGUAGGGUAAAGGCCUACCAAGGCGACGAUCCUUAACUGGUCUGAGAGGAUGAUCAGUCACACUGGAACUGAGACACGGUCCAGACUCCUACGGGAGGCAGCAGUGGGGAAUAUUGGACAAUGGGGGCAACCCUGAUCCAGCCAUGCCGCGUGUGUGAAGAAGGCCUUCGGGUUGUAAAGCACUUUCGGUCAGAAAGAAGGGUGUUGAAUUAAUACUUCAGCAUUUUGACGGUACUGACAUAAGAAGCACCGGCUAACUCCGUGCCAGCCGCCGCAGUAA